CGCCGCGGUAAUACCGGCGGCUCGAGUGGUGGCCACUUUUAUUGGGCUUAAAGCGUUCGUAGCUGGGUUAUUAAGUCCCUUGGGAAAUCCGACAGCUUAACUGUCGGGCGUCUAAGAGAUACUGGUAAUCUUGGAACCGGGAGAGGUGAGGGGUACUUCGGGGGUAGGAGUGAAAUCCUGUAAUCCUCGAGGGACCACCUGUGGCGAAGGCGCCUCACCAGAACGGCUUCGACAGUGAGGGACGAAAGCUGGGGGAGCAAACCGGAUUAGAUACCCGGGUAGUCCCAGCCGUAAACGAUGUGCGUUAGGUGUAUCGGUGACCACGAGUCACCGAGGUGCCGAAGGGAAACCGUGAAACGUACCGCCUGGGAAGUACGGUCGCAAGGCUGAAACUUAAAGGAAUUGGCGGGGGAGCACCACAACAGGUGGAGCCUGCGGUUUAAUUGGACUCAACGCCGGAAAUCUCACCGGAUAAGACAGCAGAAUGAUUGCCGGGCUGAAGACUCUGCAUGACUAGCUGAGGGGAGGUGCAUGG
rnacentral:rRNA from 1 species